AAAUUCCUCCAAAAGCUUUGUGGGCCCUGGAUUGGAGCUGGAAAGAAAGACCAUGGUGAAUGCCACUCGUGAUGGGUCCAGCUGACAGUCAGACUUGGGGGCCCUUGGGAAACUGCCUUUGAAGAUCCUCAGAAGUACUCGGGAGGGUGGGGAGUUUAUGAAGGACUCACAGAGGCUACCAUAUGGACAGGAAUAAAACCAGUUUUAUAGUUGCAAGACCACUUUUGGGAUGAAUGAUGAAGGAACUGUGGAAAUACAGAACUGAGUAAAUCACCUUCUGCUGUCAUCAGAGAAGGCUCAAUGCAGGGGCAUCGCUGGCACUAGCUCUGGAAGGUUAAAGAACACGGCACAGGUGAUUAACUGCCACAGUGAGAGAUGCGUUUGAAUGAAUACACUGACCUCCAUGCUCAGUUCCUCCUGGCUGAUGUGCAUGCAGAUUGUUCCCCUGUGGCUUCAGUAGCAUCUUCUGCUCUAGGAGACAGUGGGAAACAGGAUCUCAUUGACAUAGGCCACCUCCUUUCCCAAGAGCCCUUCAUUUUGAUGACAAAGGACUCUUACCUUGCAAUCUGAACAAAGGCCAAAUGGCCUGUCUCAUCCAGCAUCCUCAUUCAGAACUAGCCGACUGAGAUCUGUCACAUGGGGCCAUGGUAGUGGGGCCUGCCACAUCCCACCUCACUAUAAGCUGUCACACCAGCUCCUGGCAAUGUGAGCCUGGGCCGCUGGCCACUCUGUAAAUGUAGCUACAUGGGGAAGAAAAAUAGACAUUAAAGCAGAAAAGGAGGUACAAUCCCUAGGGCUGCUUUCAGGAUGACAAACGCUCGGAAACAGCAACUCCUGAAAGCAGGAGCCAUGCCUUCGCAAACACUGGGAUGUGCACAUACAUGCCUGAAGUCCAUGCAUGGGAGUGUACAAGAGUGUGAGAGAGAAGCUAUGCCUCCCCAGCUCCUCAUAAGGAGAAACAGUUCAAACUCUUAGACUUUGAUAGAACUUUCCAACAUAUAUGAAAUCAGCUACCUAAAUUAUUAGACAUAAGUCACAUACCAAUUGCUAUGGUUUGAAUGUUUGUGUUUCCUCCAAAAUUUAUGUUGAAGCUUAAGAGAUUCCUUAUACAAGAGCCAGAGAGAACUAGCUGGGCCCUUUUGAGCCCUUCUGUUCUCUGGAGCACGCAGUGUUCGAGGUGCCAUCUUGGAAGCAGAGACUGGACCCUCAUCGGACAUGGGGCCCUCACUAGACACAAAAAGUGCAGUCAUCUUGAUUCAGCCUCCUCGACUGUGAGCAAUAAAUUUAUGCUGCUUACAAAUUACCCAGUUAAGGUAUUUUGCUGUAGCAGCACAGACUAAGAUACCAGUUGACCUGUGGAUUUUGUGGAGAGACCUACCACUCCUAGAUCCUAGUACUCUGAGCCUCUGAACAUUGCAUUCAUGUGGUACUACUAUGCCUUGAAGUCCAGACCCAAGAAAAACAAACCCAAAGAGAAAUGGGGGUUCCCUGCUUGAGUUUUCUGUCUAAAGACUCACUUUUCUGGAUGAUGGAACAUGGGAGUGAUUGACAUUGGAAAAAAUUUCUUAUUUCCAGGCAAGCCCCAUCUUCUCCCCACAGAGGAAUGGUGUUCCUUUGAUCUCAACAAGACAAGCAUAUCAAAAAACAUCUUAAUAAUUCAUCUGAGUGAUGCAUACAUAAUGUAACUGGCAUUAGUGGGGGAAGACUGUUUCUUUACAAGAACGAAAAGGGUUGCUACAUCCCUAGCUCCAAGCACAGCACCUGGCUCAAAGCAGGUGUGAGAUUCUUAUUAAAAGACUAUUAAGAGAAAA